rnacentral:rRNA from 1 species
GACGAACGCUGGCGGCGUGCUUAACACAUGCAAGUCGAACGGUGAAGCGCCUUCCUUUUUGGUGGGUGUGGAUGAGUGGCGAACGGGUGAGUAACACGUGAGUAACCUGCCCCCUUCUUCUGGAUAACCGCAUGAAAGUGUGGCUAAUACGGGAUAUUCUGGGUCUGUCGCAUGAUGGGUCUGGGAAAGAUAUUGUUUCGGUGGGGGAUGGGCUCGCGGCCUAUCAGCUUGUUGGUGGGGUGAUGGCCUACCAAGGCGGUGACGGGUAGCCGGCCUGAGAGGGGGGACGGUCCAACGGGGAAGGGACACCGGCCCAGCUCCCCAGGGGGGGAAGGGGGGGGGAAUAUGGACAAAGGGGGGCAAGCCGGAGGCGGGGGCGCCGGGGGGGGGUGGGGGGCCGUGGGGUGGGGAACCUUUUUCGCCGGGGAGGCAGGCCUGCCUCUUUUGGGGGGGGGUGGAGGGGAGUGGGAAAAGAAGCCCCGGUAAAUUACGG